CCCUUAGAUGUUCUGGGCCGCACGCGCGCUACACUGAUGCAUUCAACGAGCACCCGCUGGGCUGAGAGGUCCGGCUAAUCUUUGAACGUGCAUCGUGCUGGGGAUAGAUGAUUGCAAUUAUUCAUCUUCAACGAGGAAUUCCUAGUAAACGCAAGUCAUCAGCUUGCAUUGAUUACGUCCCUGCCCUUUGUACACACCGCCCGUCGCACCUACCGAUUGAAUGGUCCGGUGAAGCGUUCGGACCGUGGCCUUUGGACGGUUCGCCGUCUGUUGGCUGCGGGAAGUUCGUUAAACCUUAUCAUCUAGAGGAAGGUGAAGUCGUAACA
rnacentral:rRNA from 1 species